CCAGAAAUCAACAAAAAGGCCAGGGCAAUAGUACGAAUAGUGCGCCAAAGCUGCUCUUUAAAAUGCCCUCCUUCUGUAGCCACCAUAUGAAUAGGUGCACUAGCAGUUCCAAGAACGCCAUCUUUUGCAGAUUUUCCCAUAUUCUUGAAAGCAGAAAGACCUCCUAUGCUUUCUUCCUCCCUUGCAGAAUUAGCAAUGCCUCUCUGCAAGGUCUUAAGCAACUCACUGUCAUCCAGCCUGUCCUCUCUGACUAAUGCCCUGACAAUUUCAGAAAGCGGUUUGGUGUUGCUAUGUAAUGAUGGUUGACUUUCAAAUAGUCUUGUUACUGCUUCAGGAUCAUUUCGGUGAUAAAGUUCUUUAAGAUGUGGAACUUCACUAGCUUCAUCUGUACCACGCACACUGCGACCUAAGUUACCAGCAUAGCUCGACUGAAACCUUCUUUCAGCAUUUAAAAGCCCACUCCCUGCAUCGCAUCCAAGCUUGCUAGCAGGAAAGUAAGUUCUGACAAACAAACUUUUGUACUGUCCUAACUCUGAUUGAUGCCUUGAAGCCUGCGUGAUUAGGCGCCUCCAAGCCAUGCCGCGACUAGGAACCAAAGAGGUCUGAUCUUCUUUGCUUCGUUAGCUCCUUCUCUCUCUGUGUGUCCGAAAAUAUGUUGGCGAUGCGAUGUAAAGUGAAAGUAUUUCGGGUGUGCUUGGAUAGCGAGAAAAAGAAGGAAAAUGAGAAGGUCUCGAGUGUAAAGGAGGGAGAGAGAGAGAGAGAGAGCGAUGGAGGUGGGGAAGAUAGGUUAUGGUUUUCGGGAAGGAAAGAACGGAAGAGUUUGGAUUUGGG
rnacentral:misc_RNA from 1 species